GCGGGUUUAGCUCAGUUGGGAGAGCGUCAGACUGAAGCCAAAACUUCGGUACCAUCAAUCUGAAGGUCAUGUGUUCGAUCCACAUAAACCGCA